rnacentral:rRNA from 1 species
UACGUAGGGUGCAAGCGUUUGUCCGGAAUUAUUGGGCGUAAAGAGCUCGUAGGCGGUCUGUUGCGUCGGCUGUGAAAACCCGGGGCUCAACUCCGGGCCUGCAGCCGAUACGGGCAGACUAGAGUUCGGCAGGGGAGACUGGAAUUCCUGGUGUAGCGGUGGAAUGCGCAGAUAUCAGGAGGAACACCGGUGGCGAAGGCGGAUCUCUGGGCCUGUCCUGACGCUCAGGCGCGAAAGCUAGGGGAGCAAACAGG